rnacentral:lncRNA from 1 species
UGUGGAUUCAUUCCACAGCCUCUUUUGAGAGUCAGCUAAAAGUAAUGACUUUACAGUGUGUAAUUAUCUUUCCCUUCAGAGUGCUAAGGCCACAAUUGGCAAGUUUUCUUUGUGAGACACUAUUUUUUUUUGGUAAUGGUGUUGACAAAGGAUUGGCAAACUAUGGCCCAUGAGUUAGAUUGAGACCUUUUCCCUGUUUUUCUAUGUAUACUUUAUUAUAACUUAGCCAUACCCAUAUGUUUAUGUUAUCUAUGGUGCUUCUGCAAAGCAAAUUAAUAGUCUGAAUUCAACAGCACUGAAAUAUCUUCUGUGGUAAAAGGGUUUCAAAUUAUGACAAUACCCCAGGGGUUCCUGGAGUAUUGCUAGGGUUUCUUAAAAAGAAGAAGAAGAAGAAAGGGUAGUCAAUCUUAGGCGUGUUUGCUUUUUUGUCUGCGCCAUUGUUCCCAGACUCAGAGUACUUAAACGCAUCACUGUUGCCUGGCUAUGACAAAAAAAUAUUUGCUCAAUCCUAGAGAAGACCUUUGGUAUCCCUAUUUUUGGGGGGUUCUUUAUUACCUUGUAU